rnacentral:misc_RNA from 1 species
AGGACAUGAGUUUUAUUAUUAUUUAGGAAAUAGGAAUAUUCAUUAGGAAUUGCUUCCUAGUUAUAAAUAAUUUUUAUUCUUCUAUUCAAGAUCACUAAUCCUAAUAGGCCAAUUCAUUGAGCUUUCAUGUAUCCUAUGUAAGCUAGUACUCUAUUACGCCUUUAUUAAUAGAAUUAUAGGUAUUUGAUUAGGUUUUGAAGCACAACAUGCCUAGAGCGAUAUCUCCUCAUUCUUAAAUAUUCAGACCUCCUCCUUUCCUCUAUCUAUCAAAAGCGCUCUUAGCAUUCUUCUCUCUCUACUUUUCCUCUAUUUCUUUGCAUCAAAAGAUCAUAAUCAAUCCAAUCUCAAAAUCCAUAAUUUUAUUAUCAAGUGCCUUAUGCUAAUUUGAAGAGUUUUAUUUGCUGAAUUCAUUAUACUCCAAAAUAAGGACACAUAAUUGGUCUAGUUUGGGUAUUUAAUAAAAUCUAUAAAUAUCGGACACUAAUACCCCUCAAAUGCUUCUUGAUGCAUAACCAAUACUCAAUUCAACUCAACUCGACUAAACUAAACUAAAUUAAGUCUUUAUCCCAAAAAUU